GAUGAAGAACGUAGCGAAAUGCGAUAAGUAAUGUGAAUUGCAGAAUUCAGUGAAUCAUCGAAUCUUUGAACGCACAUUGCGCCCGCCAGUAUUCUGGCGGGCAUGCCUGUUCGAGCGUCAUUUCAACCAUCAAGCCCUGCUUGCGUUGCGGUCCUGCGGCUGCCCGCAGGCCCUGAAAACCAGUGGCGGGCUCGCUAGUCACACCGAGCGCAGUAAUACAUCUCGCUUUGGGCGUGCGGCGGGUUCUUGCCGUUAAACACCCCCUUUUUACCAAGGUUGACCUCGGAUCAGGUAGGAAUACCCGCUGAACUUAAGCAUAUCAAUAAGCGGAGGA
rnacentral:misc_RNA from 1 species